AAAACGGCCCUCCUAAGGGCCACUACCCUAUUCAUAGAAACGUGC
rfam:Asian citrus Psyllid, Diaphorina citri - Florida Strain, whole genome shotgun sequence.